GACGAACGCUGGCGGCGUGCCUAAUACAUGCAAGUAGAACGCUGAAGAGAGGAGCUUGCUCUUCUUGGAUGAGUUGCGAACGGGUGAGUAACGCGUAGGUAACCUGCCUUGUAGCGGGGGAUAACUAUUGGAAACGAUAGCUAAUACCGCAUAACAAUGGAUGACACAUGUCAUUUAUUUGAAAGGGGCAAUUGCUCCACUACAAGAUGGACCUGCGUUGUAUUAGCUAGUAGGUGAGGUAAUGGCUCACCUAGGCGACGAUACAUAGCCGACCUGAGAGGGGGAUCGGCCAAACUGGGACUGAGACACGGCCCAGACUCCUACGGGAGGGAGCAGUAGGGAAUCUUCGGCAAUGGGGGCAACCCUGACCGAGCAACGCCGCGUGAGUGAAGAAGGUUUUCGGAUCGUAAAGCUCUGUUGUAAGUCAAGAACGGGUGUGAGAGUGGAAAGUUCACACUGUGACGGUAGCUUACCAGAAAGGGACGGCUAACUACGUG
rnacentral:rRNA from 1 species